GCGUUUGGUUUGUUGUAAAAGGGGUGGAUAGCAUAGGGAUAUAGGCUUAUAUGGGUGUUUGGUUUCUUAUAAACAAAUCCAACAUGGCCCUGAGAAUUGUAAUGGCCCGAUGCAAAUUCACUGUAGAUUCAGUGUUACCCAGCCGGCCACCCCCCUCCGAUACAUUUUCCAGAUUUUAAUACUACUUUAUUUCUACCAUAAUUGCCCUCAACUUUUUCAAAUUCAAUCAUUAAACUGUUCAAAUUCGCAUCCCCCAAUUCUCUACCCAAUUCUCUGCGCCUACCGGGAACUCUGAUCUUCUUUGGAGAAAAAUCGACGGAAGCAACUGAAUCAAACCAAGGGACAUCUGGUCCGAGGAACGCCAUUUUGGUAACCCAAAUACACGAUGUCGGGGAGGGAACAUAUACGAGAAUCUGAUGUUGUGUAUAUGUUGGUGCAAGAGGUGUUGCGCCAACAUUUGAUGCAAAUAGCUAUUGUUGUUGCUUAUGUUGAUAGCUUGUGUUCAAGAAGAAGAACGCUUGAGGGGGCAGCUGCUCCUUACGGCUUGAUAUGUCGUAUGCCUGAUUAGGAGAGGCAUUUAGGACAACUAAUAGGCUGUAGUGAUGUAGAUUGUAUCAAUAACCUUCGCAUGGACCGUAAUGCAUUUGGUCGUUUGUGUCAAAUAUUAAGGGAUAUGGAGGGCUUAGUUCAUGGGCGACACGUUAGUGUUGAAGAACAAGUAGCUAUGUUCGUCUCGGUCCUUGCCCAUCACAAAAAAAUCGAAUAGUAAGGUUCAAUUUUUGGCGUUCUGGCCAAACAAUAUCACAUUACGUCCAUGCCGUAUUAGGGGCUAUUUUACGAUUACAUGAGACAUUUCUAGCAAAACCCGAGGCUGUCGCGGACGAUUGCACAAACGAUAGGUGGAAAUGGUUCGAGGUACCUCUAGUUGGUUAAUGUAGCUAUUAUAUAAAUUGACAUAUAUACGGGCUACUUGUUGAGUUUUACCUGUGUUUACGGUUGUUUCUUAUGUCUUGUGUAGGGUUGUUUAGGGGCAUUAGAUGGCACCUACGUGAAUGUUUUGGUCAGUACUACCGACAAACCAAGAUACAUAACACGCAAAGGUGAAAUUUCCACAAAUGUUUUAGACGUUUGCGAUCGCAAUCUUCAAUUCGUAUAUGCACUUUCCGGUUGGGAAGGGUCAGCAUCGGAUUGUAGGAUUUUAAGAGAUGCUUUGAAUAGGCCACAUGGAUUAAAGGUGCCAAGAGGUAGAUAUUACUUGUGUGACAAUGGCUAUGCCAACAGCGAUGGUUUUCUUACUCCCUACAAAGGCGUACGAUAUCACUUGAAAGAAUGGGGUCCAAUGGGUUCACGACCUCAAAAUAAGGAAGAACUAUUUAAUCUCCGGCAUAGCAAGGCGAGAAAUGUGAUUGAAAGAGCCAUUGGCAUCAUGAAGAUGCGGUGGGGAAUUCUUCGAUCCACUACAUUCUACCCCAUAAAGAUUCAAAAUAGGUUGAUUAUGUCGUGCUUUUUAUUACAUAACUUCAUUCGUAGGGGGAUGUCAAUUGAUCCGGUUGAACAACAAUACGAUGAUAUGCAUGAGGGGCAGGGUGGUGUAGAAUGAGAGGUUGAUGACUUCGUUGACAGUAUUGAAGCUUCACCUCAAUGGAAUGCCAUGAGAGAAGCAUUGGCUGAGGAGAUGUGGAACCAAUAUCUAAAUCCUAAUUAGGUGAAACUAUUCACAAACACCUCGUUUGUUAUAUAGAAUGUGUUGCUUCUCACAGUGCAUUAAUCUUCUUAUGUUCGACUUUGAAAACUGUGAAUUGUUA